UGGGGAAUAUUGCACAAUGGGCGCAAGCCUGAUGCAGCCAUGCCGCGUGUGUGAAGAAGGCCUUCGGGUUGUAAAGCACUUUCAGCGGGGAGGAAGGCGUUAAGGUUAAUAACCUUGGCGAUUGACGUUACCCGCAGAAGAAGCACCGGCUAACUCCGUGCCAGCAGCCGCGGUAAUACGGAGGGUGCAAGCGUUAGUCGGAAUUACUGGGCGUAAAGCGCACGCAGGCGGUCUGUCAAGUCGGAUGUGAAAUCCCCGGGCUCAACCUGGGAACUGCAUUCGAAACUUGCAGGCUAGAGUCUUGUAGAGGGGGGUAGAAUUCCAGGUGUAGCGGUGAAAUGCGUAGAGAUCUGGAGGAAUACCGGUGGCGAAGGCGGGCCCCUGGACAAAGACUGACGCUCAGGUGCGAAAGCGUGGGGAGCAAACAGG
rnacentral:rRNA from 1 species